UAGGCGGGGCGAGGGUUGCUGGCUGUUGCCAGGGCAACUGGAAGCGAUUGGCGGUUAUCCGCGGUUUGAAGCUGUUAGGCAGUAGAGUCCGGGAUGCUCAGAGGUCAUUUGGGAUCAGCAUGAGGGGCAUGAGGGCCUUUCUAAGACAAGACUGUCCUCUCAGGAGGUGAGUAAAAAGAAAAAAGCCACCCGUCCUCCCCACUACCUAGCAGUGACUUCAAUUUGUCAGUGAAUUGAAGAGACAGAGAUGAAGCGGACGCAGCACGUGAAGGCAAUUCUUUCAAGAAGUUUGGCUGUAAAGGAAAAGAUAAAGGUGCUAAAGACCGUAUAAGCAUGGAGUAGACAGGCCACCUUUGCUACUCCAUGGAAGCUUAUUUAAAAUUGAAGCUUAAAAAGCCAACCUGGAAGAUAGAAACCAAAUCCUGAUGACAUUAUUUGAGCCCAGGGAUCCAAACAUGCCCAAAGACUAUUUUGCCACUGGACUUUUCAGUUAAGUGAGCCAAUAAACUCUCUUUUAUGCUUAAA